rnacentral:rRNA from 1 species
UACGUGGGAGGGCAAGCGUUGUCCGGAUUUAUUGGGCGUAAAGCGCGUGUAGGCGGCUUGGCAAGUCCGCUGUGAAAACUCGAGGCUCAACCUCGAGAUGUCGGUGGAAACUGCCUGGCUAGAGUCCGGAAGAGGAGUGUGGAAUUCCUGGUGUAGCGGUGAAAUUCGUAGAUAUUCGCAAGAACACCAGUGGCGAAGGCGGCUCACUGGCCCGAUACUGACGCUGAGGCACGAAAGCGUGGGGAGCAAACAGG